rnacentral:rRNA from 1 species
UACGUAGGGGGCAAGCGUUGUCCGGAUUUAUUGGGCGUAAAGAGCUCGUAGGCGGUUCGACAAGUCGGAUGUGAAAUCUCCACGCUCAACGUGGAGGGGCCAUUCGAAACUGUCGUGACUUGAGUCCGGUAGGGGAGUGUGGAAUUCCCGGUGUAGCGGUGAAAUGCGCAGAGAUCGGGAGGAACACCCGUAGCGAAGGCGGCACUCUGGGCCGUGACUGACGCUGAGGCACGAAGGUCAGGGGAGCAAACGGG